rnacentral:rRNA from 1 species
UUAAAAGCUCGUAGUUGGAUUUCUGUCGAGGACGGUCGGUCCACACUUUGUGUGAGUAUCUGAUUCGGCCUUGGCAUCCUCCUGGGAACGUUUCUGCGCUUGAUUGCGUGGAGCGGAAUUCAGGACUUUUACUUUGAGGAAAUUAGAGUGUUCACGGCAGGCAAACGCCUUGAAUAUAUUAGCAUGGAAUAAUAAUAUAGGACCUUUGUUCUAUUUUGUUGGUUUCUAGAGCGAAGGUAAUGAUUAAUAGGGAUAAUUGGGGGGCAUUUGUAUUAACGCGUCAGAGGUGGAAUUCUUGGAUUGCGUUAUGACAAACUACUGCGAAAGCAUUUGCCAAGGAUGUUUUCAUUGAUCAAGGACGAAAGUUAGGGGAUCGAAGACGCUUAGAUACCGUCGUAGUCUUAACCAUAAACUAUGCCGACUAGAGAUUGGAGGUCGUUCUUUUUAUGACUCCUUCAGCACCUUAUGAGAAAUCAAAGUCUUUGGGUUCCGGGGGGAGUAUGGUCGCAAGGCUGAAACUUAAAGGAAUUGACGGAAGGGCACCACCAGGAGUGGAGCCUGCGGCUUAAUUUGACUCAACACGGGAAAACUUACCAGGUCCAGACAUAGUGAGGAUUGACAGAUUGAUAGCUCUU